rnacentral:piRNA from 1 species
UGUAAGGAAAACUGUCAGACAGCUUUGAGC